GAGGUGUCACUGUGAGCUGUGUCGCUGCCUUAAGAGAUAUCUGUUGUGUCUUAUUACUUGGUUGCUUUUCCCCACAUGUACAAUGACAAAAAUGCCUUCAACCUAUUUGAUCCAGCCAUUCCAGUACAACUCCUAUACUUGCCAUCUUUCCAAGCCCAAAGCUAUAGUUCCUCAUGGUCCUGCACUCCAUGGACUAAAUUAUGAUGAAACUGAAACACAAAAAAUUUAGAUUAACUCUUAGGUGACAAAGGCCAGGAUUGAAGCUCAUGCGGUCUGGCUCCAGAACAACUCUUCUUCAUAGUUACGUUAUACUGCCCCUGCAUUGUUGGUAUUGAAAAUAACUGAUACCGUGCUUCCAGAAGAUUUUUCUAACAGUGUUUGCAGGCUAUAAAAUAGUGCUUUCACUUGGAAAAGGCUAGACGUGGUGGUUCAUGCCUGUAAUCCCAGCACUUUGAGAGGCCGAGGCACCAUGCCGGGAGAUAAGGAUCCAACAUAAGACAAACAGUGCUGAUGCUUUUGGAAAGCUCAUAUUCAAGCUGGGGAGACAAACAACAUACAAAAACUCACUCUGUCACCCAGGCUGGAGUGCAAUGGCAC
rnacentral:lncRNA from 1 species